CCCUUAGAUGUCCGGGGCCGCACGCGCGCUACACUGAAGGAAUCAUCGUGGCUUUCUCCCUGACCCGAAAGGGUUGGGAAACCCGUUGAAUCUCCUUCGUGAUAGGGAUUGGGGCUUGAAAUUGUUCCCCAUGAACGAGGAAUUCCCAGUAAGCGCGAGUCAUAAGCUCGCGUUGAUUACGUCCCUGCCCUUUGUACACACCGCCCGUCGCUACUACCGAUUGAACGGUUUAGUGAGGGCCUCGGAUUGGUCUCGGCCCGCUCUUUACCGGGCGGCGCCGUUGGUCGAGAAGACGCUCGAACUUGAUCGUUUAGAGGAAGUAAAAGUCGUAACA
rnacentral:rRNA from 1 species